GUGAACGCUGGCGGUAGGCCUAACACAUGCAAGUCGAACGGCAGCACAGUAAGAGCUUGCUCUUACGGGUGGCGAGUGGCGGACGGGUGAGGAAUACAUCGGAAUCUACUUUUUCGUGGGGGAUAACGUAGGGAAACUUACGCUAAUACCGCAUACGACCUACGGGUGAAAGCCGGGGAUCUUCGGACCUUGCGCGAUUGCAUGAGCCGAUGUCGGAUUAGCUAGUUGGCGGGGUAAAGGCCCACCAAGGCGACGAUCCGUAGCUGGUCUGAGAGGAUGAUCAGCCACACUGGAACUGAGACACGGUCCAGACUCCUACGGGAGGCAGCAGUGGGGAAUAUUGGACAAUGGGCGCAAGCCUGAUCCAGCCAUACCGCGUGGGUGAAGAAGGCCUUCGGGUUGUAAAGCCCUUUUGUUGGGAAAGAAAAGCAGCAGGUUAAUACCCCGCUGUUCUGACGGUACCCAAAGAAUAAGCACCGGCUAACUUCGUG
rnacentral:rRNA from 1 species